CCUACGGGAGGCAGCAGUGAGGAAUAUUGGUCAAUGGACGCAAGCCUGAACCAGCCAUGCCGCGUGCAGGAAGAAGGUACUACGUGUUGUAAACCGCUUUUGUCAGAGGACAAAGGCAGGGACUAGUCCCCGGCUGAGGGUACCGGACGAAAAAGCAUCGGCUAACUCCGUGCCAGCAGCCGCGGUAAUACGGAGGAUGCAAGCGUUAUCCGGAUUUAUUGGGUUUAAAGGGUGCGCAGGCGGCCCGUUAAGUUAGCGGUAAAAUCCCGGGGCUCAACCUCGGCGGAGCCUUUGAGACUGGCCGGCUGGAGUGUGGGUGAGGUAGGCGGAAUGUGCGGUGUAGCGGUGAAAUGCUUAGAGAUCGUGCAGAACACCGAUUGCGAAGGCAGCGUACCGGGCUAACACUGACGCUGAGGCACGAAAGCGUGGGGAGCGAACAGGAUUAGAUACCCGUGUAGUC
rnacentral:rRNA from 1 species